UUCAGUACUUAUAGAUACACUCAUGAAUUGGAUUAUAGGCCAGAAAUCAAUAUAAAGCCAUGGGAAUCAUUGUUGAAGGACCUAAAAGAAGGCAACAAGAGGAGCAGGUGGAUGGAAAGGGAGCCCUAUGCUUACUGGAAGGGAAAUCCAGCUGUUGCUGCAACCAGGCUAGACCUCCUCAAAUGUAAUGUUUCAGAUAAACAGGACUGGAAUGCCCGAGUUUAUACCCAGGUAGCCACUUAUGUUUAUCGUUAGUUUCACCUUUGAUAAAGACUGCAUGCCUCACCAACUAAACUGCAUAAAAGCAAAAAUCAGUUUUCGGUUUUGCAUCUUAUGUAGGAUUGGAUUCUAGAAUCACAAGAAGGUUACAAACAAUCGGAUUUAGCAAGCCAAUGCAUUCAUAGGUAAAACAUCUUUCUUUUUUCAUUGAUCUUAUGUUAUAGUCCCACUUUAUUUUAACACAUGUUCCACUGUUUAUAUAGGUAUAAAAUUUAUAUUGAAGGAUCUGCAUGGUCUGUAAGCCAAAAGUACAUUCUUGCCUGCGAUUCUGUUACCUUACUAGUAAAGCCUCAUUACUACGAUUUCUUCACGAGGAGUUUGAUGCCGGUGCACCACUAUUGGCCCAUAAGGGAGGAUGACAAGUGCAGAUCAAUUAAGUUUGCUGUUGACUGGGGCAACCGCCAUAAGCAGAAGGUAUGCAGAAGCUUCAAUCAUGUAUGAAAUAAUCUAGGGUAUAACACUUUUCAUCCACUGAUAUCUUACAUUAAUUUUGUUAUUGAUUUAUAAUAGGCACAGUCCAUUGGGAAGGCAGCCAGUGAUUUCAUCCAAGAGGACUUGAAGAUGGACAACGUGUAUGACUACAUGUUUCAUCUUUUAAAUGAAUAUGCUAAGCUGUUGAAGUUCAAGCCCACUGUGCCUGAAAAAGCUGUGGAGCUAUGUUCAGAGAGAAUGGGUUGUGGUGCAGAAGGAUUAAAGAAGAAGUUUAUGAUGGAAUCCAUGGUGAAGUAUCCCAUGGAUGCAAGCCCAUGCACCAUGCCUCCCCCCUUCAGUCCUCUAGAGCUUCAAACUUUUCUCAACAGAAAAGUAAAUUCAAUAAAACAAGUGGAGGCCUGGGAGAAGAAAUUUUGGGAGAAUCAAAAUACAUAGACAUUUUCUCUUAAUUUUGCUCAUAAUCACGAUCAACAUAUAUAAUGUUUAUGAUAUAUAUGAGACAAAUGUAUUUAGCCUCGAUGGAAUGAUCCCCUGGUCAAUACAACAUUUUUAUUUUGUUUUGUUUUGUUUUUUUUUUUUUUUUAAUUCACCAUUUAGAUCUAUUGUUGUUUCCCACGGCCAUGGUUGGAGAAAUCCGAAAGAUGACUCUGCCCUUGUUCCACUGCCUACAGCUUGCAUAGGAGAAAUCUCAAUGCAUAAGAAUAAGGCCUUGUUUGGCUGCUGGUCUUGGACGCCUAUCCUCAAUGGCUAGGGGAUGAUGAUCUUCUUCUCAAUCCAACAAUUGAAAAGUCAAGUUUUGAGAGUUUUGGAAGCGGGAAGACAAAAACUUAAAACUGUUUUUAAUAUGGUAUUUAUAAGAUACAAAUACCUAAUGAACUCAAACUAGAAUUUCCAAAUCAGUGAACUAAAUGACUACUAAAAAAUAAUUUGCAUGUGACAAUAUCGAAGAAAAUCCUUAAUUUAUCUUUCAAAUUUAAGUUAAAUGAUGGGUGCAAAAUUAAGAAUUAGCCAUUAAGUCAUCAGUCAUCAGAAGUUUGUCUCCAUGCGUAUAUUAGGAGCAUCUUAAAAGAGAUGGUUUUGGCCCUGAGAUUGAGAAAGCUCUAGCUUUCUGAUGGUUAAUUUUGUUUGAGGUGCUCCAAAACCAAUAAUGAAAGCAAAAACCAUCAAGGAAAAUGGUUUUUAAUUUAUUAUAAAACCUAGUAAAAAAAUAAUAUAUAAUUAAAUUAAUUAGAGACAUAUUUUAUAAUUUAUUUUUUAUAUAGAAGAGUUAGAAUAAAUGAAAUAAAUUUGAAAUAUCAUACAAAAUAAUUUAUUGAUUUUAAAUGUCAUUUUUAUUUUAAAUUACUCUUUAUAUAGAAGAAUUAAAAUAAAUGAAAUAAAUUUGAAAUAUCAUAUACAAAUAAUUUAUUAAUUUUAAAUAUCAUUUUUAUUUGAAUGUAUAAUUAAAUUAAUUAGAUACAUAUAUUUUAUAAUUUACUCUUUAUAUGGAAGAGUUAGAAUAAAUGAAAUAAAUUUGAAAUAUCAUACAAAAAUAAUUUAUUGAUCCUUAAAUAUCAUUUUUUUUUCUUUUACCUGUUUUUCUUGCAAUCUUUGCUCCCUAAUUUUUUCAUGAAUUUUUCUCUCAAACUUAACAUAAAAGUAGAUGUGUAUCAUGAACUUAUAAUGCAUCCUUGCAAAUUUAUAUUGCAUAGUAGAGAUAACAAGAUUUUCUUUUGUUGCUGUGAAUAUAUAUAUAUAUAUAUAUAUAUAUAUAUAUAUAUAUAUAUAUAGCUAAGAUGGAUGGUGGUGCUUUAUCCCCAUCACCAUUGAAGUAUUUAUACAAGUGGCCGGGACUUGGGAGGAGCACAAGCUUUUCAAAGCAAAGGAAAUCUCUUUCAGAUAUUAAAUAAUCGAAGUAAAGAGAGAUCUUGAUCACAAGUCUUGAAAGCUUGUUUCCAUGCGUUUACCCCCUGGUCUAAGUCCACAUGUUUGGACGGUGUCCAACUAAGACCACAUGUUUGAAUGGUGUUCAAUUAAUUGCUUUACUUUAUUGUUGCCUUCGAGUGGCAGUCCAUUUGGACAAAUUCAAAGGAGCCUUACGUUUUUGCCUUACAUUUAUGUCAUGGAGGAUGUAGAAAAUGCAUCAAAGUCAUUGAUAUCGGAGGAAAAUCAUCUUCCAUGAAAUAAUAAAAUAUUGGUUAAAAGAAAAAACUGAUCUUUGUGUUAUCUGGAAUUUUGACUGCACAAACAUGAGAGCCCUUGCAAUGAUUGUUAUUUGUUGAAAGAUGUUUCAAAUUUCUACUUUGCAUAAAUAUUUUUUUUGUAAAAAAUAUUUUUUUAUACUCAUAUCUCACUGUAAUAUUAGAUUUUAAUAUCAAAUAAAUAAAAAUGUUAACAAUAUAUUUAUUAAUAUUUUAGAUUAUGAAAAAAAAAAGUUAUGAAAUAAAGAUGAACGUGUAAAUAUCGUACCCAGUGCAUAAAAAAUGAGAGGAUGUAUGGGAGACACGUAGGGGAGAAAUAAACUGCAUUUGGUUUUGACAUCCCUAAUAUUUUUUUGUAAUACAGUGGAAGGAAUCUAACUUUUGGAUUGCUUUAUAUCCGCUGGCGCAGCAAUGUACGUAUUUCUUCUUUGAACUCUUCCUCUACUGGGUUGUUCAGAAGUCAUGAGAAAAGCAAUUCGAGGUGUUCUUUUGCUUUGGUUUCUGUGCUCAACAAUUUUAAGGUCAUGCAGGGCAAACAACUUGGUUUGUAAUGAAAAGGAGAAACAAGCCCUUCUGAGCUUCAAACACGCUCUUCUUGACCCUGCAAACCAGCUGUCUUCUUGGUCUAUUAAAGAAGACUGUUGUGGAUGGCGAGGAGUCCACUGCAGCAAUGUCACUGCUCGAGUUCUCAAGCUCGAACUUGCUGAAAUGAAUUUGGGAGGUGAGAUUAGUCCUGCUUUACUCAAAUUAGAAUUUUUGGAUCACUUAGACUUGAGCUCGAAUGAUUUUAAAGGUUCUCCAAUUCCAAGUUUCCUGGGUUCCAUGGGGAGUUUGAGAUAUCUUAACCUCAACGAUGCUCGAUUUGCUGGACUAGUUCCUCAUCAGCUUGGAAAUCUCUCGACUCUUCGUCACCUGGAUCUGGGAUAUAACAGCGGGCUGUACGUUGAGAAUCUUGGUUGGAUUUCUCAUCUUGCUUUUUUGAAGUACCUAAGCAUGGAUUCGGUCGACCUUCACAGGGAAGUCCAUUGGCUUGAAUCCGUGUCUAUGUUCCCUUCUCUUUCAGAGCUGCACUUGUCCGAAUGUAAACUUGAUAGCAAUAUGACUUCAUCUCUUGGGUAUGACAAUUUCACAUCUCUCACAUUUCUUGAUCUUUCAGAGAACAAAAUCAAUCAAGAAAUGCCAAAUUGGUUGUUUAAUCUCAGUAGUCUUGCUUUUUUAAGUCUAUCAGAAAAUCAAUUCAAGGGGCAAAUUCCAGAGUCCUUGGGGCACUUCAAAUAUCUAGAAUAUCUUGAUCUUUCUUUUAAUUCCUUUCAUGGUCCUAUUCCUACAUCCAUAGGAAACUUAUCCUCCUUGAGGGAAUUAAAUCUUUAUUAUAAUCGAUUAAAUGGUACUCUUCCUACGAGUAUGGGGCGUCUUUCAAAUUUGAUGGCCUUGGCUCUGGGAUAUGACUCUAUGACCGGUGCUAUAUCAGAAGCACAUUUUACAACACUUUCAAAAUUGGAGACAGUACAGAUAUCAGAGACAUCCUUCUUUUUCAAUGUGAAAUCCAACUGGACUCCUCCUUUUCAGCUUCAAUUUCUGUUAAUUUCUUCCUGCAAGAUAGGUCCCAAGUUUCCGGCAUGGCUACAGACCCAAAAGUCUCUUUCCUAUCUAGACUUUUCCAGGUCAGGAAUUGAGGACACAGCUCCCAACUGGUUCUGGAAGUUCGCUUCAUACAUCGAUCAGAUCCAUCUCUCUAAUAAUCGGAUAUCUGGGGACUUACCCCAAGUUGUACUAAACAAUACUAUCAUCGAUUUGAGUUCUAAUUGCUUCUCAGGUCGGUUGCCACGUCUCUCUCCGAAUGUUGUUGUGUUGAAUAUUGCUAACAAUUCAUUUUCGGGACCGAUUUCCCCUUUCAUGUGCCAAAAGAUGAAUGGAACAAGUAAAUUGGAGGUCCUUGACAUAUCAACUAAUGCUUUAUCAGGGGAAAUUUCUGAUUGUUGGAUGCAUUGGCAAUCUCUUAUUCAUAUAAAUAUGGGAAGCAACAAUCUAUCUGGUAAAAUCCCCAAUUCCAUGGGUUCUUUGGUUGGACUUAAAGCAUUGAGCUUGCACAACAAUUCCUUCUAUGGAGAUGUACCUUCAUCACUAGAGAACUGCAAGGUUUUGGGGCUGAUAAAUCUAAGUGACAAUAAAUUUUCAGGGAUUAUACCCAGGUGGAUUGUUGAGAGGACAACUCUAAUGGUUAUCCAUUUAAGAUCCAAUAAAUUCAACGGCAUUAUUCCUCCACAAAUAUGCCAACUUUCUUCUCUUAUAGUAUUGGAUUUCGCUGAUAAUAAUCUAUCAGGAGAGAUACCGAAGUGCUUGAAUAAUUUCAGUGCUAUGGCUGAAGGACCUAUCCGGGGUCAGUAUGAUAUUUGGUAUGAUGCUUUGGAAGUAAAGUACGAUUAUGAAUCUUACAUGGAAAGUCUUGUUUUAGAUAUAAAGGGGAGGGAAUCAGAGUAUAAAGAGAUUCUUAAAUAUGUUAGGGCCAUCGACCUUUCAAGUAACAAUUUAUCAGGAUCAAUCCCAGUUGAAAUCUUUAGUCUCUCCGGAUUGCAAUUUCUAAACUUAUCUUGCAAUCAUUUAAGGGGAAUGAUAUCAGCGAAAAUUGGAGGCAUGGAAUACUUAGAAUCUUUGGAUCUCUCUAGAAACCGUCUUUCAGGUGAAAUUCCUCAAAGCAUUGCCAAUUUAACAUUUCUUAGUUAUCUGAACGUGUCGUACAACAAUUUUUCUGGAAGAAUUCCUUCAAGCACCCAGCUUCAAAGCUUGGAUCCGCUUUCUUUCUUUGGCAAUGCUGAACUGUGUGGAGCCCCUCUUACGAAAAACUGCACAAAAGAUGAAGAGCCUCAAGAUACAAACACCGAUGAAGAAAGUAGAGAACAUCCUGAAAUCGCAUGGUUUUACAUUGGCAUGGGAACAGGAUUUGUUGUGGGGUUCUGGGGAGUUUGUGGAGCCCUCUUUUUCAAAAGAGCUUGGAGGCAUGCUUAUUUUCGGGUUCUUGAUGACAUGAAAGACAGGGUCUAUGUGGUUAUAGCAUUAAGGUUGAAAUGGUUGCAAAACAACCUGAGAAGAUACUUUCUCGGUAAGGGAAAAAAACAUAUUUUCAUUACCUCAUGUAAGGUUUUGCAUCAAAUUCAAUUUUCCUCUGAACACUCAUUUGUUCUUGUUGAUGCUGUAGGUUCUGCCAUUUUAUCCCUGUUUCAUCGUGUACUUAAUUGAAUGUAUUUGUCUCAGACGACAUGAAUUUUGUCUUUGACAGAUUUACGAUGUUUAAGGGGUCGCAGCGAAAGAGAGAAGGUAAUGGAUGGUGGUGGAACCUGAAGAAACUGGGGAAAACAUUCCAGGUGGAUGUCUUCUUAACCCUCUUAACCCGAUAUUUUCUUAUUGUACUAGUGUUCCGAUGCCUCUAAAAUGAAAGAAGAGGAGAAGAUCGAAGAAGAGAAGUAACUUGUCAUUUCAAAAUUUGUAUUAUUCCAUUGCCAAACUAAACCUUUCUAUUAGUUCAUUAUAACCUGGUUUUAAAUAUUUGCAGGGAGCACAUGCAUAACCUCAUCAAGUUGACAUGUUUCCACAACUUCAGUACUGAGACGCCUAAAGAUUUUGUUCUCAAGUCUGCAGCAUUUAUCAAGUUGGCGGUGUUGUUAUGGAUAUUAUACUUUAUUCUAUGUUAUUUGCUGUUAUGUUAAACUAGAUAAGUUACUUCUUGUUAUAUAUAUAUCAUCAGAAGAUGAGCAUUCAGAUAUUUUCAUAGAUAUCAUUUGCAGGUAUUUCAGCUAAUGAAACAGCCACUUAGAAGUUUCCAAAUCAUAUUGACUCAGUUUUGCUAGAAAUAGAGUAACAAAGAGCACAACGAGGAAACUAAGAUGGUGGUGCUUUAGCUCCAUCCCCAUUGAAAUGUUAAUAGAAUUGGGAUUUGGGGGAAGCACAAGCUUAAUUUUCAAAGCCAAGGAAAUCUUUUUCAGAUAUUAAAUUAUUGAAGUAAAGAGAGAUCUUCACAAGUCUUGAUAGUUUGUUUCCUAGCGUUUACCCGAUGGUCUAAGUCCACAAAUUUGAAUGGUACUCAAAGACUUUCGAGAUCAGUUGAUUGACUUUGUUGUUCUCUUUGAGCGGCAGUCCAACAUUUGGACAUAUCCAAAGGAGCCUUAAGUGCCUUUUAUUAUUAUUAUUAUUAUUUUACCAUUUAUGUGGUGGAGAAUGCAGAAAAUGCAUCAAAGUCAUUGAUAUGAAAACCAGCCAUUGACCCAAUGUCUUGCAACUUGGAGGCAAAACACUUAAAAAAGUACAUAUUGGAUUAACAAAAUAUAGGAGGAAAAUCAUUUUCCAUGAAAUAGUAUAUAUUGGUAAAAAGAAAAAACUGAUUUUUUAUGUUACCUGUGGGGUUUUGAUUGCAGAAAACAUGAGCUUGUAACCAUAAGGAGCCCUUGAAUUAUAUUAUAUAUAUGCCUCUGCUUCUUUUGGGGUCAGUUGAUUAACUUUAGGUUAAAUCUAGUUUUUGAAAAAUUUGAGGGAAAGAAAAUAAAGAGGAAACAAAUUAUAAUUCUACACCCAAAAAUAUACCUUAGCAAACCAUAACUUUCAAGUAAUCAAUUAUAUGAACUCAACGGCCCCCCACUUGUUUUAAACAUUGAUUAUAUGACAUUAAAUUCUUACAUUUUGAAUCACAAUUUCUCCCUUGGUAAAAGUCAUAUUUAUGGAGGUCUUGGGAAGUUUGUCUCCAUGCGUUUACCAUGAACUAUAAGCCCUUGUAUUUGAUAGUAGUGAAGACUUUGGGGUUAGUUGAUUAACUUUAUGCUAGGUUUGGUUUUUGGAAAAUUUGAGAGGGAAUGCAUAGGAAAUAAAUAUAAGGGAAAAAAAAAUUGUCAUUCUAAACCCAGAAAUCUGCAUUAGCAAAUCCAUAGCUUUCAAGUAAUCAACUAUAUGAACUCAAAGGGCCCCUCCACGUGUUUUAAACAUCAAUUAUAUGGCAUUAAAUUCUUGCAUUUUGGAUUGCUGGGCAUGAGUCAUCUUUGUGGAGGUCUUAGGAAGUUUGUCUCCAUGCGUUUAUCGUGAACUAUAAAUCAUUGUAUUUAAUUAUAGUAAAGACUUUUGGGAUCAGUUGAAUGACUUUAAGGUUAAGUUUGAUUUUUGGAUUGCUUGGCAUGAGUCAUCUUUGUGGAGGUCUUAGGAAGUUUGUCUCCAUGCGUUUAUCGUGAACUAUAAAUCAUUGUAUUUAAUUAUAGUAAAGACUUUUGGGAUCAGUUGAAUGACUUUAAGGUUAAGUUUGAUUUUUGGAAAUUUGAGGGAGAAUGGGAGGGAAAUAAAAUAGUGAGGGGAAAUUGUCAUUUUGUGUCAUCUUUACGGAAGUCUUAGGAAGUUUGUCUUCAUGUGUUUACCAUGAACUACAAGUCCUUGUAUUUGAUAAUUGUGAAGACUUUUGGAUUAGUUGAUUAACUUUAGGAUAGGUAUAGUUUUUGGAAAACUUGAGAGGGCAUUGGAAAUAAAUACAAAGAAAAAAAAUUGUCAUUCUAAACCUAGAAAUUUGCAUUAGAAAACCCAUAGCUUUCAAGUAAUCAACUAUAUGAACUUAAAGGCCCCUCCACUUGUUUUAAACAUGUAUUAUGUGGCAUUAAAAUAUUACAUUUUGGAUCACAAUUUCUCCCUUGGCAUAAGUCAUCUUUAUGGAGGUCUUGGGCAGUUUGUCUCUAUGCAUUUACCAUGAACUAUAAGUCCUUGCAUUUGAUAAUAGUGAAGACUUUGCGUUCAGUUGAUUAACUUUAGGCUAAGUUUGGUUUCUGAAAAAUUUGAGGGAGAAUGGAAGGGAAAGAAAUUAGUGAGGAACAAUUGUCAUUCUACGUUAGCAAACCACAACUUUUAAGUAAUCAAUUAUAUGAACUCAAAAGGCCCCUCUACUUGUUUUAAACAUUGAUUGUAUGACAUUAAAUUCUUGCAUUUUGGAUCCCAGUUUCUCCCUUGGCAUGAGUCAUCUUUUUUGAGGUCUUGUAAAAUUUGUCUUGAUGCAUUUACAUGGACUAUAAGUCCUUGUAUUAGGAUAAUAGUGAAGAUUUUGGGGGGCAGUUGAUUACCUUUAGGCUAAGUUUGGUUUUUGUAAAAUUUAAGGGAGAAUGUGAAGGAAAGAAAAUAAAGAGGAAAAUAUAAGGAAAGAAAAAGUGAAAAAAAAAAUUGAAACCAAUUAAUUAUUUUAGAAGGUUAAUUUCAUUCAUCUUCUCUAUGGUUUUGGAUAGAAACAUCUAACCCUUAUUGGUUUAAAAUUUCAUUAAAUACCUUUUAUAUUUUUUUCAUUUAUUAUUUUUAUUCACCUCAUCUUUUACUGAAAAUAAGAGAAGUAUUUGAUAAAAUUCAAACCAAUGGGGUCAAAUGAUUUUCUUUUAUAUUUUUCAUCGUAAAACUAAAUACAAAAAAAUUAGUUUCCUUAAUAUUUUUGCUCAUAUCAAGGAAGCACGAACAACCUCUAACAAGUGCCAAUUUUUCCAUUCAGCAACUCCAUUUUGCUGGGGUGUAUUGGAACAAGUAGUCUGAUGAAUGAUGUCAUGUUCUUCCAAAUACUUUUGAAGAUCAGAACUCUGAUAUUCUCCACCAUUAUCACUACGCAAAACCCGAACCUUGCAUUGUACUGAGUUUCAAUCAUUUUAUGAAAAUUUUGAAACAACAAGUUCACUUCAUCUUUGGUCUUCAUCAAGUAUAACCAUGUCAUUCUGGUACAAUCAUCAAUAAAAGUAACAAAUCAACGUGAGCUACUCAAAGUUGGGACUUUGGAUGAGCCCUAAACAUCAGAAUGUAUAACCAUAAAAGGAAGCAGACUUUUAUUCAAAAUUAACGGAAACGAAGCACGAUGGUUUUUAGCCAAUUCACAAAUAUCAUAACGGAAACCAGAAAUAUCACUCUUUGCAAACAAACUAGGAAACAAUUUUUUUAAAUAACCAAAGGAAGCAUGUCCUAGACGUCGAUGCCACAACCAAAUUUCAGACUUUUUCUUCUCCUCCUCAGAUCCAUUUGCCAUCAAGGCUUGUUGUAACUUAUUUGAAUCCUUUGAAUGCAAGUCCAAGUAAUAGAGUUUUCCCCGCUUAAUAUCACAACCAAUUGUCUGUCUUGUUUGGAUGUCCUUAAUCACACAAAAUUCAAGCCAAAAAAUGACAAUACAAGAUAAGGCUGCAGUGAUUUGAGAAACUAACAAAAGAUUGUAAUCUAGAGAUGAAACAACUAAAACAGAAUCCAAAUUCAAAGUAUCAAUAAGAGUCAAGGAUCCUUCCCCAAUGACUGGGGUUGUGUUACCAUUGGCUGUGGAAACAAUUUUUUGUGAGGAAGGUCUAAAGGGUGAAACCUGUCUAGAAUCAAAAGUCAUAUGAUCUGUAACACCAUAAUCAAUUAUCAAUGCACUAUUAAUAACAGGUGUAAAAGUAUUUAAAAACUUACCACCAUGAUUUGUAGCGGCUACCAAUGCAGAGGCUUUCUCAGCAACAUUAGCCUUUGUUUUUAUUUCGACAACAGUUGCAAUCGAGGUUUUCUUGGAAUCCUUAUUUCGUUGAUCACGAUUAUUAUCAAUAAUAACAAAGUGGUGAUAGCCUAAACAUGAUCUAAAGGUCCAUGGUUCAAACCCUUGGUUCUUCCUUGUUUUCCUGGUCAUACCAAGAGUCAUUGCUUUGAAAUUGUGGGAUAUCCAGACUAGUAAGAUCAGUCUUAUUGUAGUGAAUGCAUUUGAAGGUUGACUUAUCAAUAUUAGGGCUUGUCUUAGGAUGGUUGAUCGUUGUCGGACUACCAUAGCAACAAAAUAUCCAGGAUUUCAAUUCCAUGGCUCUGAUACUAUCUUCAAAUUGAUAAAUGGUAGUUUUUUCAUUUAUUCUUUCAUUCGUUCAUGUACAGAGUAUAUAUAGAGGGUAAUCACCAUUCUAAGAAUGGGAAAGAAUGAUACAAGGAAAGAAUAAUAUAAGGAAAUAACAACUAAUAUCCUAAUAUCUCAAUAUUCCUAAUAUCUCAACUUUCCUAAUAUCUAAACAUUCCUAAUAUCUCAACACUAAAUGAUACAAGGAAAGAAUGAUAUAAGGAAAACAUUUCUAAUAUCUCAACAAAAUGUCAAUUGUUAAGAGUGUUUUAAAGGAGAUAGUUUUGACGUGGAAAUGGAGAAAAUUAAAGCUUUCUAAUAGUCAAUUUGGAGGUGGUUUUCAUUAUGUUAUUAAAAAAAUAGUAAAGAAGAUAAAAUAUAAUUAAAAUUAGUUAGAUAUUUUGGUAUUUUAAAAUUAUAUACUCUUUAUAUAAAAAAGUUAGAAUAAGUGUACCAAUAUUUAAAAAAGAAUUACAAAUUGGAGGGAGAAUUACCAAAAAAUUGUAAAUUUUUCUUCAAAUCAAACUAUACUACCAUAUUAAACUAUUAAAUUUUCUAAAAACUUAAAUUUAAAGGAUUUAGACUCAAUAUACAUAUCAUGCUCCUUAAUAGAUAUAACAUUUAAAAAUAAUUUAUUGAUUUUAAAUGUUAUUUCUAUUUUCUUUUCCUUUUUUUUUUCCCUAUUUUCUCUCUAAUAUAACUAAAAAGUAGAUCUAUAUCAUGAGCUUUAUGCAUCAUUGUAAAUCUAUAUUGCAUGAUAGAGGCAAAAAGAUUUUCUUUUGUGGGAAAUUAAUUAGCUAUAUAAAAUUCAAAAAUUAUAAAAUUGAUUUGCAACAAAAUUAGCUAUUUUGUUUUAGAAAAAAAUUCUAAAAUAAUUUGGAGCUAUUAGGCUUAAAUCCCAUUUGAGCGUCAUCUUUAUCCAUUUCUUGGAUAUUUUAUUUUCUUUUCACCAUUGAAAAUCUUCCAAUAUAAUCUUUCUAAAUUACACAUUUUUUUUCCUUUAACUUUUCUAAAUAUUUUUUCAUUAACAAAAUAUUUCAAAUCAAGCAACUCUUCUACAUAAGAUUUACUAAUUUUUAAGAAUAAUUUAAAACAAAAAAAUUAAUCCAUUGUUCCUUAUUUGGAUUUUUUAACACAGUUCCAUCAGAAUCAAGGACUUCAUCAACGAGUUGUGAAUGAUUUUUGAUAUGAUGUUCUAGGCCGAGACUUUGAAUCGAUGGCAGAAUUUAAGCCUUCUAGAGGAGAAAGUUUAUGGUGGACAACGGGAUGGAAAUCAGGCUAGAGCAUUGAUGAAAUUAUUGAAUGGAGAGUUUGUGUCCUUCAAUAGAUAGGCCUUUGAAGAGGCAAGCUUUGAUAACAUAAUGAAUUUAGAGAUUUGAAAAAUGAAUGCAAGAAUUAUUGUUGCUUGUUAUUUUAUUCAAAGUUUCUACAAUAUUUUUUAUAUACCAAAAUGCAAUGGAUAGAAAGUGAAAACAAGGAAAGAAAGGAUAUGAUUCUUGAGUUAAAAAUCAUACCCAUGAUUUUAGGAAAUUGAAACUAUAAGGAGAUAAUUAAGGAUAGUCAAAAGGCUAGUUGGUUUCAACGGUCUUAUGCUUGAUUUUCUCAUUGAUGUGUUGGUUUUCAAUUAAAAAUAUAAAAUAGGUUAUAAUUAAAAAUAAAUUUAAAAUAAUAUUGUUUGUUCAUUGUUUUCUGGAACAAUUUUUAAAAAUAAGGAAUGAUUUUUAGACAAGUAGAAGUUGUUGUAUUCAUUUAUUUCUAAAAACAAAACCAAAAUAUAGAAAAAAACUAAUUUAAAAAGUACAAAAAGCAAAUAAAGUAGAAUACAAUUUCUUUCCCUUUUUAUUUUCUCUCCACAAACCAAUAUUGAAAAUCUUCUAAUAUAAACUUUCUAAAUUACACAUCUUUUUUUGAAUUUUCUUUAACUUUUUAAAAUGUUUGUUCAUUAGCAAAAAAUUUCAAAUCAAGCAACUCUUAUACAUAAUAUUUACUAUUUUUUAAAAAUAAUUUGAAACAAAAAAAAAUAAUCCAAUUAAUACUAAGAAAAUUAUAGAAUAUCAAUCACUUUGUUAUUUUUUUUUCAUACAUGAUUAUAUUUUUUCAAAAUUUUCACUAAUAAAAUAUAUUGGAAAUCAAACAAGAUUUAACAAAAAAACUAAGUUAUGAGUUUUUUUAUUAAAUUAAUAUUCAUAUUUUACUAAAAAUGAUUUAUUUUUAAAUUUAUUAAUAGUUACAAACCUAUUUUUUAUUUUAAUAAUAAAAUUAAAAUAAAAAUUGUUUUGGAAAAAAAUGGGUUUUUUUUUUUAUCCAUUAGAAUAAUUUUUAUUUAAGAUAGAAAAAAUGGUUUACUUUUUCUUUACCCACAUAUUUGAACACUUCAAAGUCAUUUCCCAAUUCCCUACCUGACGUUUGAAUUAGAUUCUAAAAGCGUAAACACGCAAAUGGAAUCUUGGAUCUAUUGGUGACUUGUUCCAAAAAGAUUAAAAUAUAUUUAUUCAAAUGAGGUUUUUUUUUUCAUCCUUUGAAAAAUGGUUUUAAAAAUAAUUGUAAAGCACCCUUAUUUUUAGAAAAUAUCAUUUUUUUUAACAUAUUUUUUAAAAUAAAUUUAAGAAUUCCUUUACUUUACCCAUAUAUUCCAUUAAUGACUUUGCAGGCUUCAAAGUCAUUAUCCAACUUGUUGUUUGAUUCCAAAAGCAUAAAACACUGCCUCUCUAGGUUUUCUACAAUUAAUUUUUUUUUUUUAAUCUAUUUGGAUCUAUUUUGCGGGAUGAGAAGGAAGAUUUUGGAGGUCAUAUAAAUAAAUAAUAAUCAAGUUUUCUCAAAAACAUUUUGCUUCUUCCACAAUAAUUUUUUGAGAAGGGAUUAGUGACAAUAAUUUUUGUACAUUUCAUUUAUUAGAUUUUCACCUAAAUUAAUUUUUAUUUAUUUAUUAUUAUUAUUAUUAUUGCUUUGUAUACAUAUAAUACUACACUAAUAAUGUUUUUUUGAGCAUUAUUGUCUCUUUUAAAUUAUACAUAUUAAUGAAAAAUAAUUUUGUUUUUCAUAUUUUUGUUAUAUAUUAGACAAUACUAGGAAUUGGGAAAACAAAAAAACAAAUUCAUAAUUUUAUGUUUACUUUGUGAAGGAAGAUACAAAAGAUGAGAAAUUAGAAAAUGUUUAAAAACUAGUAUAUUUUCUAAUGUUUAUUCAAACUCCUGAAUGUUAACUCCACCAUUGAAUUGGCUUCCAAUAAUUUUAAUGCUAUGCUUGGUUCUAAAAGAAUACUAAGGAAGAAAAAAAAAAGACAAAAAAGAAGAAACUAAGUUCUAUUUGGUUCUCGAUAAAGAAGAAAAGUAGAAGGAAAUAAAAAAUAAAAUAAAAUAGAAAGUUUAAUUUAAAGUAAGUAAAUUAUUUUUAUUAGCUAUAUAUUUCCAAUUUAUUUAACUCAUUUUAACUAUUAUAUAUAAAGAUCAAAUGAUAUGAAAAUACAUAAACUUUUAAUUAAUUUGUAUUAUAUUUGAUUUUAUUUACUAUGUUUUUAUAGUAAUCCAAAGAUAAGAAAACAUUUUCCUUAUUUUUUUAUAGUACUUUUCUAAAAAUCAAACAUAGGAUAGAAAAAAUGAUUUAAGUGAUUCAACUUUCUAAAUAAGUUUAUGCUAUGUUGACUCAUAUGAUAUGGAAAUUUUCACACGCUCAAAGUGGUAUAAGUUGUAUCCAAACUACUACAUCAUACCCCAAAUCUAAUAUAAGAUUUUAAAAAAAAAAAUUGAAUAUCAACAAAUUAUUUUAAAAAAUUUAUUAUUAUGUUUGGAUUAGAAAAGUACUAAAAAAAGGAAAAAAGAAAAAGAAAAAUAAUGUUUUCAUAUUUGGUUUCACUAAAAAGUAUAAAAAAGAAAUUUUAAAUUAGUUUCAAAUUAUUUAAUCAUUAGAUAGAAGAGGAAAAAUAAGUAAAAUAAAUUUAAAGAAACAUACAAAAAUAAUUUAUUAACUUUAAAUAUAUAUUUUAUUUUCCUUCUAUCUAUUUCCUUAUAUUUUCCUCAGAAAUUUUCUGUGAAUAAACAUAACCAAAGUAUUUAACAAUUUAUUGCUCAAAUAGGCUAAGGAUUUUUUAUUUUUAUUUAUUUUUAAACAUUUAAGAUGCUUUUUUUAAGCGAUGACAUAGUUUUAAUAUAACAUUUGCAGAAUAUGGGACUAGACAUGAGGCCAAACGCCCUUUAAAUACUCCCACAUGAGAGUAGGUAGUAUGACCCUUGCUUUUCCUUGCCUGUGCUCUGCUUCUACUUCUGCAAUCAUGAGAAACUCCAAUUCAAUCAUGGUGUUUCUCUUGUUAGCCAUCUUAAGCUUAUGCAAACCAAACUCCUUGGCCUGCAAUGAAAAGGAGAAACAGGCCCUUCUCCGCUUCAAACAAGCUCUCACCGAUCCUGCAAACAGCCUCUCUUCUUGGUCUCUCACUGAAGACUGUUGUGGAUGGGCAGGUGUCCGCUGCAACAACGUGUCUGGUCGCGUAGUUGAGCUCCAUCUCGGUAAUUCAUACGACCCUUAUGCUGUUAAAUUCAAUGGCAGGUCUGCUUUGGGAGGUGAGAUUAGUCCUGCUUUGCUAGAGUUGGAACAUUUGAAUUUCUUGGAUUUGAGCACAAAUGAUUUUGGAGGUGCUCCCAUUCCUAGUUUCCUUGGCUCUAUGAGGAGUCUAAGACAUCUUGACCUCUGGGGUGCUUCAUUUGGUGGCCUAAUACCUCAUCAGCUUGGAAAUCUCUCAAGCCUUCGCCACCUUGACCUAGGAGGAAAUUCUGGGCUUCAUGUUGACAAUUUUAGUUGGAUUUCUCUUCUUUCUUCCUUGGUAUCCUUGGACAUGACUUGGAUUGACCUUCACAGGGAUGCUCAUUGGCUUGAUUCUGUAAGUCUGCUCGCUUCCCUUUCAGAGCUAAUCUUGCCCAAUUGUCAACUUAAUAACAUGAUUUCAUCACUUGGGUUUGUCAAUUUUACAUCUCUCACAGUCCUGUAUCUUCCUUCUAACAACUUCAAUCACAACAUGCCAAGUUGGUUGUUUAAUCUCAGUAGUCUUUCAUCUCUGGACCUGAGUGACAAUUCUCUACAGGGUCAGAUUCCGAGCACCAUAUCAAAUCUUCAGAACAUACACUAUCUAAAUUUAUCAGUCAAUAUGUUAACAGGGCAAAUUCCAGACUCUUCAGGGCAGCUCAAACAUCUAACACUUGUUUCACUUUUUUCUAAUUUCUUAUGUGGCCCUAUUCCUUCACGGUUGGGAAACCUAUCAUCCUUGUCUCGGCUAUAUCUUGAUCAAAAUAAGUUAGAUGGCUCUAUUCCUUCCUCGUUGGGAAACCUAUCAUCCUUGUCUUACUUAUAUCUUUAUAGUAAUAAGUUAAAUGGCACUGUUCCAAGGAAUCUGGGACUUCUUUCAAAUUUGGUGACACUUUACAUCGCAAACAACUCCAUAGAAGGAACAGUGUCGGAAGUACAUUUUGCCAAACUCUCCAAGUUGAAGUACUUAGCCAUGUCUUUUACAUCUGUUGUAUUCAAUGUGAGCCAUAACUGGAUUCCUCCUUUUCAACUUGAAUACUUAGGAAUGGCUUUUUGCAAGAUGGGUCCCAGGUUUCCUCUAUGGCUACAAACACAAAGAUCCCUUCAGAUUUUAGAGUUGUUCGAGGCAGGAAUUGUGGACACAGCUCCAAAGUGGUUCUGGAAGUGGGCUUCACAUAUUCAAAUUAUCAAUCUUGGUUAUAACCAGAUAAGCGGAGAUUUAUCCCAAGUUCUGCUAAAUAGUACUAUCUUCUCUGUAGAUUCUAAUUGCUUCACGGGUCAACUACCACAUUUGUCACCAAAUGUUGUAGCGUUGGAUAUAGGCAAUAAUUCAUUAUCCGGACAGAUUUCCUCUUUCUUGUGCCAAGAGAUGAAUGGAAGAAGCAAACUGGAGAUGCUCUACAUACCAUAUAACGCUUUGUCAGGGGAACUUCCUCAUUGUUUGCUGCACUGGCAAUCUUUGAGUCAUUUAAACUUGGGAAGCAACAAUCUAUCAGGUAAAAUUCCUGAAUUGAUUGGCUCUUUAUUUUCUCUCAAGGCAUUGCAUUUGCACAAUAAUAGCUUUUCAGGAGGUAUACCAUUGUCACUCAGAAACUGCACAUUUUUGGGCCUCAUAGAUUUUGGUGGAAAUAAACUUACCGGAAACAUACCUAGCUGGAUAGGAGAAAGAACACAUCUAAUGGUUCUACGGUUAAGAUCUAAUGAAUUCGUUGGGGAUAUUCCUCCACAGAUAUGCCGACUUUCUUCUCUUAUAGUGUUGGAUCUUGCUGAUAACAGGUUGUCUGGAUUCAUACCAAAGUGCUUGAAAAAUAUCCGUGCAAUGGCUACAGGUCCCAGUCCAAUUGAUGAUAAAUUUAAUGCUUUAACAGAUCAUACAAUUUACACUCCAUACAUAGAGGAUCUUUUGUUGAUCAUUAAAGGCAGGGAAUCAAGAUACGGUAGUAUCCUUCCAUUAGUGAGGAUAGUCGAUCUUUCUAGUAACAAUUUGUCAGGAGCAAUCCCUUCUGAAAUCUCUAGUCUUUUUGGAUUGCAGUCUUUGAACUUCUCUCGAAAUAAUUUAAUGGGAAGGAUACCAGAGAAAAUCGGGGUUAUUGGAUAUUUAGAGUCUCUAGAUCUCUCGAACAACCAUCUUUCGGGUGAAAUUCCUCAAAGCAUCAUUAAUUUGACAUUUCUUAGUCACUUGGACUUGUCAUACAACAAUUUCUCUGGAAGAAUUCCUUCAAGCACACAGCUCCAGAGCUUUGAUGCUCUUGAUUUCAUUGGCAACCCUGAACUUUGUGGAGCUCCUCUCUUGAAAAACUGCACAGAGAAUGAAGAUCCGAAUCCCAGUGAUGAAAAUGGAGACGGCUUCGAAAGAUCAUGGUUUUAUAUUGGUAUGGCAACUGGAUUCAUAGUGAGCUUUUGGGGAGUCUCUGGUGCUCUUCUAUGCAAGAGAGCUUGGAGGCAUGCUUACUUCAAGUUCCUUGACAACAUCAAAGACCGGGUUUAUUUGGCGACAGUGCUAAAAUUGAGCUGGCUUCGCUACCAUUUCAGAAGAUACCGCAUCAGUAAGUGAAAGAUAUAGAUUUUCCAUCUUUCUCUCAUUCAUUUAUUCAAAUGCUUCAGCCAGAGUACUUUGUUUUCAAAUACAAACAUUAACCUACUAUGACCAAAUUUCAGGAAUAAAAUGGAAUUCGAUUUUGACAGGUUUGAGAUGUCCAAGGAGCUACAAACAGGAAAGAAUGGAGGAAAGAGGUAGUGGUGAAUCUUAAGAAAAACAUGUCCAGGUGAAGUGCCUUCUUAGCUCUUAAUCUAGACCUGCCACUUGCUUGUUAUAUAUAGUAGUAGUCUUCCAAAGCUUUUAAGCUCACUAAAUGAAUUAUGACUUACAAAUAUUUUUCAUCAGCAUAUGCAAAAGGAUAAUGCUCACAGAAUAGGAGGGGAUAGGUGAAAGAUCAUGGAGAAGAACUAUAUAUAUAUAUUUUUAUGAUGGAAUCGUGUAACCACUUGGAAUAUUUUUGUCCUGAACAUUCAUCAUGGGCUCAUCCCUAAGAAUGUCAAUCAUAUAAUAGACAUGCUCUACAUAUUAUAGUUGUUUAAGCUUGUUCCAAAUAUGUUUCAGGGUGCAGUACAUACUUCAAUGGCGUGGUGGAAAGAUCUGUACUCAAGUGUAAUGUACUUGGAAUUGCUGUAAUUUAUAAACUUUAUUGAUGUUCUUGUUCAUCAUGAUGUAGUUGCUACUCUUUUAUUUCCUGUUGUAUCCUAAUCACUGCUACUUGGUCAUGGGUUGUUAUAUCAUAAUAAAGUCAACAUGUGGUGUGUUUUAACGUAAUAUUCUAAGGUACCAACUUCAUACCUUAUUAAACUUGCAAUUCUAGCCCUUCAAUUAAUAAAAGACCCUUCAGUAGUUGUGUUCAACCAUAAUGUCAGUUGCUUGCCAUUUUAAUGUGAGGUGAAGCUAAGACCCAGGGGCAAUAACAUUUUAUUUCUCUUAUUUUGUCUUUAGGUUCCAUUUGGAUGGAUUUUUUUUUCUUUUUUAAUUUUUCUUAAUUAGUCAUCAUUAAAAUUAGCAAUAUAUCAUUUUGAAUAUAUAGAAUUAUAUAUAUUCAACUAAAUACAAAUAAAGACAAAACAUUUUAAAAUAUGUGAACAAAAUAAAGUUACACAUUCACAAUUUCAUAAUAUAAAUUUAUCUUAAAAAUGAAGACAUAUCAGUAUGGAGUGGAGAGACUAGUUAUAUACAUUGUUUGGAAUUGGCUCCGAGAUUCAACCUAUGAGACUCAAAAGUUGUUUCUCCUUUACCUGCACAUCAAUUAAAAGAUAAUAAUGUAAUAUAUCUUUAGAAACUUUUAGGCUAUGUUGAGUUUCCAAGAAAUUUGAAAGAAAAUAUAAAGAAAAAAAAAAUAAAAUAAAAAAUAGAUUUAAAAAGAAUAAAUUAUUUUUAUAUGUUAUUUUAAAUUUAUUUAUCUUAUUUUAACUCUUUGAUACAGAAAUUAAAUAAUUUAAAAAUAAAUAAAAUUUUAAUUAAUUUGAACUAUAUUUAAUUUUUUUUAAUAUUUUUUCAUAGGAUAUUCGAAUACGAAAAAAAUCAUUUUCUUUAACAUUUUCUUUAGAUUUCUCAUCCUUGUUUUUUUUUUUGAAGUACCUAGACAUGGUAAAGGUUGACCUUCACAAGGAAGUCCAUUGGCUUGAAUCCAUGUGUAUGUUUCUUCUCUUUCAGAGUUGCAUUUGUUGGGAUAUCACUUGAUAGAAAAAUGGUUUCAUCUCUCAGGUAUAUCAAUUUCACAUCUCUCACUUUCCUUGAUGUUUCUAAGAACAAUUUUAAUAAAAGAAAAUGCCAAAUUGGUUUUUUAAUUUUGUUACUAAAGAUUUUAAGUCUUAUCAAAUAUCAGAGUCCUUGGGCAAUUCAAAUAUCUAGAAUAUCUUGAUCUUUUCUCUUGAAGUGUAGUUCUCCGCAAUUCAAGGAUGUAGGAAUUGAUUGGGUACUCUGGAAAAUUCCUUUUUAUUAACUUAACAUUCUCAUUUUUGGUAUUAGCUACAUGGUUCAUUACUUAUAGAUACACUCAUGAAUUGGAUUAUAGGCCAGAAAUCAAUAUAAAGCCAUGGGAAUCAUUGUUGAAGGACCUAAAAGAAGGCAACAAGAGGAGCAGGUGGAUGGAAAGGGAACCCUAUGCUUACUGGAAGGGAAAUCCAGCGGUAGCUGCAACCAGGCUAGACCUCCUCAAAUGUAAUGUUUCAGAUAAACAGGACUGGAAUGCCCGAGUCUAUACCCAG
rnacentral:lncRNA from 1 species